rnacentral:lncRNA from 1 species
GACCUACUUGAGUGUGGAUAUAGAAGGUAAGUGCUGAGAGCCCCCCUUAUCCUGUGAAAAUUAAUGUAGAAAAACAGUAAAAUUCGGAAGUACGCUAAACAACAGACCUCCACCCCAAGGAGUUCAGAGAGUCUGGGAACAAGAGGCUUCAAGCUGUAUUUUGGUGUGACACCUUUUGGACGUCCCUGACACCAAUAUCCAGGCAAAUACAUCAUUUCAUUUGCUACGAAGCAAAAAGCUGACAAUUACAAGAGCAAAUAACCUCCAUUCAUAGUGAAUACAAAUAAUAUGGCAUCCACGGAGUUCACCACUUCACCCCCAAGCAAUUUAUGUAAGGAAUGUUCAAGAUAAUCCCGAGACGAGGCAAUAGAACAAGUACAUUCGGAUGAUCAAAUAAAAAAAGUUCAUUCUUGUUUCCGAUUGUUUUAUUUGACAUCUUAUACUUGAGAAACUUGGAUACUUAUAGUGAUUGAAUCAAAUAUUAUGUACUCCCCAAAAAAAAAGAGCUUCAUUCUAUGCAAAAAAGAAGACCAGAUGAUCAUAUAAUUGCCGGUUCACUCACUGUUUUUGUCUAUUCUCCCCCUCACGUCUUUUGGGCUCACGGGGACAGCCUGGAGUACAUUUUUGACUGCCCCUAACUGCAAUAGCCAGUUGGGGCACCCUCCCUUCACUCAGGCCGGCUAGAGGGAGUAAAGAGAAUUGACACAUCAGUUGAGGAGUUAACCCGUAGCUUCGUAGCACAAAAAAAGGGGGUCUAAUGUCUUUUUUUGCAACAACACUUGAUCUAACAAACAUAAAGGCAUUAGAAAGACAUAUUUGCAGAGCCAUAAAAUAAGAGCAAAAUUUAGAAUUGGAAAAAAAAAGAAAAAAAAGAGAGGACCGAAUAAAAUGAAAUAUUCAUUGAUCUAAAAUUUCAAGUGAUCAGGAAGAAUGGUAGUAACAUCUAACAUGGGCUUAAAACAGGAAAUGCGGCAGCAAAGAAUAUGUAGAAAAUAGUAAGGGAGUGAAGAUAUAUACGCACCAGGUGAGAAGCGAGGAUGAUUUUAGCGGAGCAGCCGAUCAAGUAGUUGAUGGUGGGGACAGCGGCUCGGAUUCUGGUGUCGUCGGUGAUGUUGAAGUUGUCGUCCAAAGGAACGUUGAGAUCCACCCUCACAAAAACCUUCUUCCCCUUGAGAUCAGCUUCCUUGAGUGACCCCACGCUCUUCUUCGUCGCCAUACCUACUGUAAUUCUAGUUACUGUUAGUACUACUUGCUAUUCCGGGCGAUGAUUGAAUCUGUAACCUGGAUGGGAGGGGAGAACCAGCAAAAAAAUUGAUUGGAUUACAUGUUAGUAACUACUACUCCAUGAGUAAACCAAAACUAACGGGACAAAAAAUGAUAAAUUGAUUGGUUGAUUGAUUUAUUUAACUUCUAAACUACACCCAAAACAAAACCAAAGAAAAAAAAAAAAGAAAAGAAAAAGAGAAUACUAGGAAGCUCGAAUUGAAUGAGAGUUGGGAGAGACGAUGACGAUCAAGCAAACAUACACACUGAUGGAUGAGAUGCUGGGAGACUUAUAACAGCUUCACUCUACUGUCCGCGGCUUAGGUGAUGGUGAUGGAGGUUUUAAACUUCACUAAUAAAAAGAGAGUGCCAAUUACGUACACCCACUACUUACUCAUAUACUACUGCUAGUACGGUAGUAGUGGCAGACUAGAGUGGUAUUGAGAAUGGAAAGGAGAAUCUGCUACCCAAUGUUUUGUUUUCUGUCUUCUGGGUCAAGAAACUUUCGAACCAUUCCGUCUUCGUCCAGCCAGUAGUUUUGGCUAGAAUUUCAGAAUGGAAAGGAGAAUCUAGAAACUUCUGCUCCCAUCUUUCGUUUUUGGGUCAAGAAACUUUCGAACCGUUCCGUCUUCGCCUAGCCAGUGGUUUUGUUUAGGCCCAUUGGAACCAAUCUCCCCCACCAAUUUCCGCCAUAUUAGGGAGUCCAGUGCCGUCCAUCCAUUUCCAAGUACUCCGAUCUAGUUUUUUUAUGACAUAUCAAGAGCUGGAAUGGAUGGCUUGCUGCUGCGGUUUCCUGGUUCUAUACGCUUUUAUCGAUCCUUCGGGUUUUUGUUUGUGUUGGGGGGGUGGGGGAGCCACCAGAGGUUGUUUAAUUACCGGUUUUGCAACUAUAAUUUACAAUGUCCGAGAGUCGGUUCAUCAUUCAGCGCGCUCAGCUACUACGAUUUCAAUUCUUUCCCAAAUAACUCCUAGCUUCCAAAACGUUCCCAAGUCCGACACUCCAUCAAAACCCCUUAUGUUUAUUGCGGUUACGGAUUCUUUUCUUUUUCCCCCAAAACAUAAAAUAAAAUUGCUCUUGGUACAAAAUAAAACUUUGCUUACCAUUUCGCUUUGUUUGUUCGGAUGAUCUCACAAGGGCAGGCCAAAAUCAGACCUUACAUUCACCCAAAUGCGCACAUCGAAAUCAACUCCUCUCUUCCUACAUCUCCCCUUUACAAACCCCAAAUACCAUAAACAAAGGCAUUAGGUUUAACAAGAAUUUUAGUUUUGGUUUUUGCCUGCGCAGGAACUGGAGUAGUUUGGUCAAGAGCAAUCAUACUUGAGCUCCAAACUGGCACCAUCCCCGGUGGACAUUGGCCCACUAGCAACUCCAACCUUCUCCGCAACUGCAAUCGAAUCUCCUCCAGUGAUGUUUGAGUCCCUUGCGCUCAGGUCUGCUUGCUUGCUUUUCAGUGGCCUGCAAAAAAUAUUUGCAUUUCUAUCGACAACAUAAUCUUCCUUUCGUUAACCAACCCCCCUCCUCCUCCUCCUCUCCUCCUUCCCCAACACCAAAACAAGGGAAAAAAAAGAGAGAAAAAACACGUUAUUAUAAUAGUUAAUGCAGGUUACAAUAACGGUAUUACGUGUCAAGUAUUCCUCAAGAAAGGUGCAGGCCCAAUCGCAAAACACGCAACCCUGCAACAUAGUACAGUUGCAACGCCUUUCUCCGUUAGCAAUUCUUCGUAUAACAAAAGUAUCUUGAUCUCAUUUGACCUCGUAAUAGACAAUCCAACCAGAGUGCUUCCAUCUUGCCUUCUUUCCCCAACCCCCCAACCCAAGGGCUAAUCUUAUCCGACGCAUUCAUGAAAAAUAUGAAACCAAAUUCCAUAUCCAAGCUUACAAGCCUCGGUUCUGAUGACAAAUUCAAAGGCCUCCAUCCAAUAUUACAGUUUUUGUAGUCUCCAAGACCUCACUGAAUCUUUUGAGAGAGUCCAGUCCAAUAUCCCGUCUCAUCCAGCCAUCUGGAAUAGCAGAUGCCGGCACGACUUAUGAUAAUAAACACAAACUUUCAGCUUUUCGACUCACUAUUUGGGCCAAAAAUGCACGAAGACCAAAGCAUCUGAGAUAAUCAGCAUAAUAAGGUGCACGCAAUUGAAGAAUUUUAAUCUUUUCAGAAUGCACAUAGAAAGUUCCAAAGGAGCAGCGCUUUAAGAAGCAGACCUGGCAGUUGGCAUCAAGGGCAAACUUGCCUACAACAAACAUCAUCACUAGGCAGCAACAGGCUAACUCCUUUGGCCUUGGCCUCCUCAAGAAGUGAUGUUGCAACAUAUGACUUGUCCUCCUCUACCAAUGACAAUCCCACUGAAAGACCUUGAGCUUUGUAGGAUGUGAAGAUCAUUUCCCCACCCAAAAGCAAAAUGUCAACCUGCUCCAAAAGCAAUUCAAUCCCUCCAAUCUUUGAGGAAACCUUUGAACCACCCACACCAGCAGCAAAUGGACUUUUUGGGUUUGAAACGGCACCAACCAGUGAACCUAACUCCUAUAACAGCAGCAGAACAAAUUAACAUCAACUGACAGGAAUCUCAGAAGCAAGCAACAAAUACUGGCAACAUCAAUCAGGUAACAUGGAUUCACUUUUGUCCUCCUGGAAGGUAUCCUAAGUUGAACACAACUAACCUACACUAGGCACAGAAAAAGAAUAUGACACGAAUAAAAGAUUGCAACAGCAAAGGGCAUCAAUUCAAUCAUGGUAGUGCAACUAGGAAUGACAACGCUUAUUAUUGCACUUUAACAGCUCACACUGUAUAUCCUCAUAAGUUAGCUGAAGUAAUACCUUACAGCAACAUCACUGGGAACAACUUCCUCCAUUUUGCUAUGACACAUCAGGAACAGCUCAACAUGCUUUCUCUGCAUUUAAUAGCAUGACAAUAAAAUUUAGAAAUAAUGUGAAAUGGGAGAGCCAGUCUUUACAAGGUUCAAUUACGUUGAGAGAGAGAGAUUUUAGUCACUUUAAAUUUCAAACCAAACAAAUGUACCUCAGUUUUGGGUUUCAGAGGUAUUUAGUAAAACGUGCGGUUAAGAGAACAAAAGGGGUGCAUAUUAAGAAAUGCAAGCGUAGGAAGUGAUGGUUACAGCUGGACCUGCUUCUAGUAUUCUAAAGUCCAGUUGCAUUUCUGAAGAAUUAAAUGUAAACGUAAAAUGCAGUGCUUGGCCAGCUAAUGUGGCUGCAAGGACUAGAAAAUCUUCAAAUUGUUUUGCUUAAGAGUGAUCUCUCAAACUCUGGAAAUGACAUUGCACUAAUUGCAUGCAUUUAGUCAAUCGUAGUCUUCAAAAUCUCUAGGCUUCAUACAUUGUGUAGAAUCUGAAAAUAUUUUAGAGCGAUGCAGAUGUACAAAAUGCAUGAGCCAACUUUUGUGAACUAUAAAGACGAGGAAUAAAAAUGCCAAACGAUGGGCAAGCAUUGAACAGACUAUACAGAGAUGGGGGCAAAAAAAAAUCUGAAGAUUUAAACAGCUAAUGUCCAGAAGCAUCCAUCAGUGUGUCACCAGAUCUGGAGUAAGAGACUGAUCCAGUAAAAGUGAAGUAGUCUCCAAAGAAACUUUCUGAAUGUCCAUAGCAUAAACACGGCCUCCAUGUAUGGUGUUAUCAGCAACCAAGUUGACAAGGGCCAAGGUAUCAUGGCCGUUGCCACAAGUAGCAUCAAUAACCACGUCACCUUUUUGGACAACACGCUUCCACAAGCUACAGCAAUAGGAGAAUAUAUUUAGGAUAUACUUCAGAGGUAAUUAGUCGGAAUAAGCUGGAUACAUUGAUCAGCAUUUAGAUAUUCAAUAGAUGAACAUGAUGCUUCCGAGCAAUCAAGUGCAGCAGCAGAAGCAUGAGAAAUGGAAAGCAAGAAACUAAACGGGGUGCUCAUCAAUCAUUUCCUAUAGAGUACUAGUGUUAGUACAAAGCAAGGAAAGAGCAACCAACAUAAUUAUUAAAAAAAAAGGUUGAAAAAAACGAAGCGAAAAAAGAAAGUGGAAGACUUAAGAAAAGAGGGAGGAAUACCGACGAGUGAGCAACUUGAGUGGCCUUCUUCUUCCCAAAUACAUAUCCCAUCAUGACGUCCUCCUCUAAUCCACAAAACCAUAUAUUAAAGAAAAGAUAAUAUUUUAAUGAUGAUAAUAAUAAUAAUAAUAAGAAGCAGUGGUGGAGCUAAAGCCCGGAAAGGAACAAUAAGAGAAGGGAACGUAAGAACCUUUACCUGAAAGAGCAGGAGUGGAAGUGGUUGCAACUGAGGAUGCAUCUGUGAUGGAGGAUAAGGACGAAGCAGAAGAAAAGCAGUGAGGCAGUAGCGUUGGCGGUGGCGGUGGCGGUCGCAGAGACAGAAAGCGUUUGAGAUUGCCCCACCCCGACGCCGACUGGAUAUUACUACAACUUUUGGAGAAUAAAUGACGACGACUACUAGUAAUCGUAGCAGUCGCAGUAUGGCAGCAAAUACGCAUCAUAAUAUUGUGAAUGGCCAGGCCAGACGUCAUCCUCUUCGAUCGUGAUUCCUGAUUACAGCACCGGCCGCGGCGAAGGCUAAAACCUCCUACGGAAACCAAUUUUAAAUUGAAAAAAAUAAUAUACUGGUAUAUAAUAUAGUUCACCAGUCACAAGGCGGGUCGCGCAUGCGGGACAACAACCGUAUCUCGGGUCGGGUCAAGAUCGUCCUCGUUUCACAACCAAAAAAAAAAUCCCGGGAUGCUAAAUUGCUUGCACUUUUGCUGACGGAUUCAUUCAUUAAUUUUGUCUAUCACCGGCUGGUUACAUAAGUACUACUGUAAUAAUUAGGAGUUCACCUGCUUCCUUCUCCAUGUCCAUGCCGCAUCUACAAGUCAACGUCAUUGUCCUUUUUUUUCCCUGAAACGAUGGGAAGUCAACGUCAAUUGUCCACGGAGGCAAAUCCAGUUCUAACGGAUCGGAUCAUUCACUGCGGCCAGUCUAGCAACCGCCGGUAUAAUGUACACGCACCGCCUUACAUGAGAAUAAGAGCUGGAUCAGUGCUCAUAAAGAUCUUUUAAAAGUGAUUGACAUUAUUGUCCGCCCACCGAAGUUUAUAGCUUAGCAGCAGCGCAGAGCAGGAUUCGAUUAUGGUCGCAAACUCGAACAGCAAACAUAACCUCAAAAACCGCAGCAGUUUCAGAACCAACCAACAUUAGCACAAAGUAAUGCAUAACAACGGGCAAAAUUUAUUUCCAAGACACGGCCAGCUAUUUUUCAAGAUCUAAUCCGCUCAGGGGCAAAGCAAGAUAUGCAGCGAAUAUCUGAGGUAGGCGUAUUGCCAAACAAAAAAAAAAAAAAAAGAGCUCUUCUAAGCAUCAUCAAGGGCAAGUACUCCAGGGAGAGAUUUCCCUUCAAGAAGUUCCAAGCUUGCACCGCCACCUGUUGAAAUGUGGCUCAUCUUGUCUGCAAGCCCCACCUUCUCCACAGCAGCUACAGAAUCACCACCUCCAAUGAUUGUUGUCACUCCAUUCCCGCUAAGCUCAGCCAAUUUUUUCGCAAUAGCCUGACACAUACAAACAACAUCAAUAAAGCAUUUAUUUUUCAUAUAUGCAAUCGCCAUCAAUGUACCUUUUAAGGUACAAUUAAAUACUACUAUGUCAAACCUCUGUUCCUGUGGCAAAUUUGUCAUACUCGAAAACCCCCAUUGGUCCAUUCCAAAUAAUGGUUUUAGUGGCAUCUAAAGCUUCACUAAAUGACUUGAUAGCAUCAGGUCCAAUAUCCAAUCCCAUCCAACCAUCAGGAAUUCCGGAAGCUGGAACAACCUGCAGGAUGAGUUGAUCCAUUUCAAAAAAUAUAUAUAAAAAGCACCCAAUUCUUACUAUACCCGAUCACAACCUAACUACUUCAAUCUAUAUCAAUGCUCUUGCCAACUAUUUCGACAAGUUUGGGCAUAGGGGGGAAGAGAGUCAAAGAUGGGUUUGAUUUCUGACCUUGCUGUUUGCAUCAGGAGCAAACUUGUCAGCCGCAACUACGUCAGUGGGAAGCAACAGGGGAACUCCUUUGGCCUUGGCCUUCUCAAUGAGGGAUAGGGCAAGAUCAAGCCUGUCCUCCUCCACAAGCGAGGAUCCAACAGAGUGCCCUUGGGCCUUGUAGAAUGUAAAGAUCAUUCCACCACCCAGUAAGAGGAUGUCAACCUUAGCCAACAGUGACUCGAUUACACCAAUCUUGGUUGAAACCUUUGCACCACCAACGAUUGCAGCAUAUGGUUUCUUGGGAUUUGCCACAGCUCCCACGAGAUAAUCAAGCUCCUGAGGAACGAAAGCACAGGGUAAAAGUUACACUGCAAGCGCAUGUGCGCGAAGAGAGUAACACUCAAAAGUGAAAAACAAACCUUCUGCAUCAGAAAUCCAGCAACCGCAGGCUUCAAAUACUGGGCUACCCCUUCGGUGGAAGCAUGGGCUCUAUGUGCAGUUCCAAAAGCAUCAUUGACAUACAAGUCUGCAAGAGAAGCCAGCUUCUUUGCAAAUUCAGGAUCAUUCUUCUCCUCUUCUUUGUGGAAUCUGACAUUCUCCAGGAGCAAAACUCCACCUUCUGGCAAGGAAGCCACCAAUUUCUCUACUUCUUCACCAAUACAAUCGUUUGCGAUAAUGACCUACUUGAGUGUGGAUAUAGAAGGUAAGUGCUGAGAGCCCCCCUUAUCCUGUGAAAAUUAAUGUAGAAAAACAGUAAAAUUCGGAAGUACGCUAAACAACAGACCUCCACCCCAAGGAGUUCAGAGAGUCUGGGAACAAGAGGCUUCAAGCUGUAUUUUGGUGUGACACCUUUUGGACGUCCCUGACACCAAUAUCCAGGCAAAUACAUCAUUUCAUUUGCUACGAAGCAAAAAGCUGACAAUUACAAGAGCAAAUAACCUCCAUUCAUAGUGAAUACAAAUAAUAUGGCAUCCACGGAGUUCACCACUUCACCCCCAAGCAAUUUAUGUAAGGAAUGUUCAAGAUAAUCCCGAGACGAGGCAAUAGAACAAGUACAUUCGGAUGAUCAAAUAAAAAAAGUUCAUUCUUGUUUCCGAUUGUUUUAUUUGACAUCUUAUACUUGAGAAACUUGGAUACUUAUAGUGAUUGAAUCAAAUAUUAUGUACUCCCCAAAAAAAAAGAGCUUCAUUCUAUGCAAAAAAGAAGACCAGAUGAUCAUAUAAUUGCCGGUUCACUCACUGUUUUUGUCUAUUCUCCCCCUCACGUCUUUUGGGCUCACGGGGACAGCCUGGAGUACAUUUUUGACUGCCCCUAACUGCAAUAGCCAGUUGGGGCACCCUCCCUUCACUCAGGCCGGCUAGAGGGAGUAAAGAGAAUUGACACAUCAGUUGAGGAGUUAACCCGUAGCUUCGUAGCACAAAAAAAGGGGGUCUAAUGUCUUUUUUUGCAACAACACUUGAUCUAACAAACAUAAAGGCAUUAGAAAGACAUAUUUGCAGAGCCAUAAAAUAAGAGCAAAAUUUAGAAUUGGAAAAAAAAAGAAAAAAAAGAGAGGACCGAAUAAAAUGAAAUAUUCAUUGAUCUAAAAUUUCAAGUGAUCAGGAAGAAUGGUAGUAACAUCUAACAUGGGCUUAAAACAGGAAAUGCGGCAGCAAAGAAUAUGUAGAAAAUAGUAAGGGAGUGAAGAUAUAUACGCACCAGGUGAGAAGCGAGGAUGAUUUUAGCGGAGCAGCCGAUCAAGUAGUUGAUGGUGGGGACAGCGGCUCGGAUUCUGGUGUCGUCGGUGAUGUUGAAGUUGUCGUCCAAAGGAACGUUGAGAUCCACC